ensembl:lncRNA
GCUGUUUCGGCCCAACCCCCAAGCUCACAGCCCAGGUGGGAGGGGAGCAGCUGUGGCACCCAGCCCCUAUCCCUGACGAUAGAGAGCUGCAGAAGGGCCCCUACACCCCAGAAUCUGGAAAGAGCUCUAGCUCUGGUCUCUCUGGAUGGAGGACUGGUAAUAAGUUGGCUCCCCAAGACCUGAGAAUUUGAGAGACCUCAAGGAGCCUGCUUUCUAGAGAAGAGCUACGGGCAUUAGAGUGGAUCAAGUUCAAGCUAGUGGGAAAACAACUUUUGGUGAGCCCUAAUGUUCUGUGUUGUCUCUCUUUAACCCCCAG